rnacentral:rRNA from 1 species
UACGUAUGGUGCAAGCGUUAUCCGGAUUUACUGGGUGUAAAGGGAGCGCAGGCGGCACGGCAAGCCUGAUGUGAAAGCCCGCGGCCCAACCGCGGGACUGCAUUGGGAACUACCGGGCUGGAGUGCCGGAGAGGUAGGCGGAAUUCCUAGUGUAGCGGUGAAAUGCGUAGAUAUUAGGAGGAACACCAGUGGAGAAGGCGGCCUACUGGACGGUGACUGACGCUGAGGCUCGAAAGCGUGGGGAGCAAACAGG